ACUCUCAAGCUGGUUUCCGCAAGGGUUUUUGGUAUGGCUACACAAUCUAUCAAGUUGGGAGCAAAUCCAAGAGCGCAUGGAUCCUGUGGAUAUCUGCAAACUGCACAUGCACCAUAUUUGCUGUGGAGAGACCUGCGCAGCAGUGAAACACCUCCCACCCCCCUUCCCCGCAAAUAGGGACAUAAGU